UACGGGGGGGUGCGAGCGUUGCUCGGAAUCACUGGGCGUAAAGCGUACGCAGGCUGUUGUACAAGUCGGGUGUGAAAGCCCGGGGCUCAACCCCGGAAUUGCGCCCGAAACUGUAUGACUUGAAUGCGGGAGAGGGAAGCGGAAUUCCUGGUGUAGAGGUGAAAUUCGUAGAUAUACAGGAGGAACACCAGUGGCGAAGGCAGCUCGCUGGGACGUAACUGACGCUGAGACGCGAAAGCGUGGGGAGCAAACAGG
rnacentral:rRNA from 1 species